rnacentral:rRNA from 1 species
GUCUACGAGAGUUAGUAGACUAUGGCUCAGGAUUAACGCUGGCGGCGUGCCUAACACAUGCAAGUCGAACGAAAUACUUUUGUAUUUAGUGGCGAACGGGGUGAGUAAUAUACAGGUAAUGUACCUUCGUACUGCGAAUAACAAGCUGAAAAGUUUGCUAAUACGGAAUAGUUUCCUUAGAGGGCAUCCUUUAAGGAAUAAAGAUUUAUCGUGCGGAGAUCAGCCUGUAUCCUAUUAGUUAGUUGGUGGGGUAAUGGCCUACCAAGACGACGAUGGGUAACUGGUCUGAGAGGAUGAGCAGUCACAUUGGAACUGAGAAACGGUCCAAACUCCUACGGGAGGCAGCAGUGAGGAAUUUUGCGCAAUGGGGGAAACCCUGACGCCAGCAACGCCGCGUGAGUGAAGACGGCCUUCGGGUUGUAAAGCUCUGUCGUGUGUGACGAAUAGGGACGGUAACACACAAGGAAGCCUCGGCUAACUACGUGCCAGCCGCCGC